UUUUUUCCUUCUAAGAAUUGAUUAUCAUCUGAGUUAAUGGUCUUUCAGGAAUGGGCCACAAACAUAGGACCCAAAGACGAUCCUUGGUUGAGGUCAUGGAUUUGAUCCCAGAUCUUCCAAUUUUGGAAAAAGAAGCUAUUAGAACUGACUCAAUUACGAUAGUCAACCUUCACAUUAAGAAGAAUAUAACCGUCCACUAGCUGGGACGGUUAGGAGAGGUAAUACAAUUGAGGAGGAUGAGAUGUUAGAAAAACAGCUAUUAAAUGAUGACAAGGAAUUUGCAGAGCACAUUAUGUUAGUGGAUUUGGGGCGCAACGAUAUUGGAAGGCACCAUAUUCAUGUGCCAGUGAUUCUUUGAAGACAACCGCAUGCAUUUUUACGACCCAGGGCGCUAGUGAGGAGUCCAAUGAAAUGAACUUGAUCCCUCUCAAAUGACAUAUUUGCUCGAUGUUCUUACCUUUAAUCAAAGAAUCUUUCUCUUCAAUCUCUACUCAUCGAAGGAGGCUGCUAUGUGUAGAUGGCUAUAAUAUAGUAGCAAGAUCCCUCAAACAUGCACUGUAUGCAUUUUUACGAUUAAGGAGGCUAGUGAUGAGUCCAAUGAAACAGACCUUAUCUCUCUCAAAUGACAUAUUUGCUCGACUUUCAUACUUUUAAUCAAAGAAUCUUUCUCUUCAA